CCUACGGGGGGCAGCAGUGGGGAAUAUUGCACAAUGGGCGCAAGCCUGAUGCAGCGACGCCGCGUGAGCGAUGAAGGCCUUCGGGUCGUAAAGCUCUGUCCUAAGGGAAGAAUAAUUACGGUACCUUAGGAGGAAGCCCCGGGUAACUACGUGCCAGCAGCCACGGUAAGACGUGGGGGGCGAGCGUUACCCGGAAUCACUGGGCGGAAAGGGUGCGUAGGUGGCCAUGUAAGUCAGGAGUUAAAUCCCUCGGAUAAACCGAGGUCAGCUCUUGAAACUGUAGGGCUUGAGUGCAGGAGGGGAGAGCGGAAUUCCUAGUGUAGCGGUGAAAUGCGUAGAUAUUAGGAGGAACGCCAGUGGCGAAGGCGGCUCUCUGGACUGCAACUGACGCUGAGGCACGAAAGCGUGGGGAGCGAACAGGAUUAGAUACCCCUGUAGUC
rnacentral:rRNA from 1 species